rnacentral:rRNA from 1 species
AGCAGUCGCCACGGGAAUACAGAGGGUGCGAGCGUUAAUCGGAUUUACUGGGCGUAAAGCGUGCGUAGGAGGCUUUUUAAGUCGGAUGUGAAAUCCCUGAGCUUAACUUAGGAAUUGCAUUCGAUACUGGGAAGCUAGAGUAUGGGAGAGGAUGGUAGAAUUCCAGGUGUAGCGGUGAAAUGCGUAGAGAUCUGGAGGAAUACCGAUGGCGAAGGCAGCCAUCUGGCCUAAUACUGACGCUGAGGUACGAAAGCAUGGGGAGCAAACAGGAUUAGAUACCCGAGUAGUCCCUGUCUCUUAUAC